AAGCGCUCAUGACCAGACUUGGGCUUGGUUGAUCAUCCAGGGUUCUCCCUGGUGCACUCUUCCAGUUCAGGCCAGCAUCAGUUCGCUGUGGGGGAUAAAGGCUUUGGGAAUGUGGCUCCUUCGGGAGUGUUAUAGCCCAUUGUG
rnacentral:rRNA from 1 species